rnacentral:lncRNA from 1 species
CCCGGCACAAAGUCAAUUUGAUGCUUAAUUCCCCAAAGCGGGGGCAAUCUUUGCGGAAGUUCUUUGGGAAAUACAUCUUCAUAAUCCUGCAACACACAAGAAAUCAAAGGAGAAAUGGAAGAAUUAGUGGGGUUAGUGUUAGACCAAUGUGCCAAAAGGAGCAUAGGCAUGUCCACAUCAUAAUCCAAGAAGAGUUCCUUCUUUCUGCCAACAUCACCAUGUUUUCUUGCCCAUUUGACAUUGAGGCAGUCCCAAAAAAUCCUACUACUCCUCUCACAGUUCUCCUCUCCAUUUUACCAAUUUUGGGUUUCUUUCCCUUCUCGUUCAACUCCCUCAUCUUUUGACAUAAUUCAUUCACUUGUAACGACAAAAGAGGAUAAAGAGUAACCUUUUGACCAUCCUUCUCAAGUGAGUAUCAAUUAGACCUCCCAU